GUCAUGUGGCCUAGUGGUCAUGGCAUCUGCCCGGUAAGCGGAAGGUCGUGGGUUCGAUUCCCAUCACUUGACA
rnacentral:tRNA from 1 species